rnacentral:rRNA from 1 species
UACGAAGGGGGCUAGCGUUGCUCGGAAUUACUGGGCGUAAAGGGCGCGUAGGCGGCACUGUUAGUCAGGCGUGAAAGUCCUGGGCUCAACCUGGGAACUGCGCUUGAUACGGCAGAGCUAGAGGAUGGAAGAGGCUCGCGGAAUUCCCAGUGUAGAGGUGAAAUUCGUAGAUAUUGGGAAGAACACCGAUGGUGAAGGCAGUCCCCUGGGCCAACACUGACGCUCAGGCACGAAAGCGUGGGGAGCAAACAGG